UGACUUCUGUUACAUAAAAUUUUUCCUUUUAGAGUGUACUUUGAACUUUGUAAUAUUGCAGAACUUUUUAUGCUUACACAGCAACAUUACACACUAACUAA